UACGGAGGAUGCAAGCGUUAUCCGGAAUUAUUGGGCGUAAAGCGUCCGUAGGUGGUGGUUCAAGUCUGCUGUCAAAAACUGGGGCUUAACCCCAGGAAGGCGGUGGAAACUGAACUGCUAGAGUGUGGUAGGGGCAGAGGGAAUUCCCGGUGUAGUGGUGGAAUGCGUAGAUAUCGGGAGGAACACCAGUGGCGAAGGCGGUUACCUGGAGCUUUGCUGACGCUGAUGCGCGAAAGCGUGGGGAGCGAUCCGG
rnacentral:rRNA from 1 species